ACUGUAGCUCAGAUGGUAGAGCAACUGACUUGUAAUCAGUAGGUCAUCAGUUCGAUUCUGAUCAGU
rnacentral:tRNA from 1 species